rnacentral:rRNA from 1 species
CGGUGGAGUAUGUGGUUUAAUUCGAUGCAACGCGAAGAACCUUACCUGGUCUUGACAUCCCGGAGACCCUUAGGAAACUAGGGGGUGCUUCCAUCUGGAAGAAUCUGGAGACAGGUGCUGCAUGGCUGUCGUCAGCUCGUGUCGUGAGAUGUUGGGUUAAGUCCCGCAACGAGCGCAACCCUUGCCUUUAGUUGCCAGCAGUUCGGCUGGGCACUCUAAAGGGACUGCCGGUGUUAAACCGGAGGAAGGUGGGGAUGACGUCAAGUCCUCAUGGCCUUUAUGACCAGGGCUAUACACGUACUACAAUGGCCGAUACAAAGGGCAGCGACACUGCGAGGUGAAGCCAAUCCCGUAAAAUCGGUCUCAGUCCGGAUUGGAGUCUGCAACUCGACUCCAUGAAGUUGGAAUCGCUAGUAAUCGUGGAUCAGCAUGCCACGGUGAAUACGUUCCCGGGCCUU